UACGGAGGAUGCAAGCGUUAAUCGGAAUUACUGGGCGUAAAGCGCGCGUAGGUGGUUCGUUAAGUUAGGAGUGAAAGCCCCGGGCUCAACCUGGGAAUUGCUUCUAAAACUGGCGAGCUAGAGUAUGGUAGAGGGUGGUGGAAUUUCCUGUGUAGCGGUGAAAUGCGUAGAUAUAGGAAGGAACAUCAGUGGCGAAGGCGACCACCUGGACUGAUACUGACACUGAGGUGCGAAAGCGUGGGGAGCAAACAGGAUUAGAUACCCCGGUAGUCGCU
rnacentral:rRNA from 1 species